GUGAUAUACCCAUUGACAGGGUGAACCACAUGACUGACAAACUCUUUUGCCAAUCGCUGUAAAGAUAACGAAUCAUUCUAACAGUUUUUAAUUUUUUUUUUUAUUUCAAGAAACCAUAGGAUAAAAAAUACCAGAUAUUAAGCGACCUAAAUAAAACAUAAAGCGGGUGCACUCCAAAAGCAAGGAUGCCGUUAACUAGCCAGUUGGUUAGCCGGAGAUGGUUAAUUACAUAUUGAUAAAUGAUGAUGCUUGUACUUCGGAUUGGGUUUCUUCGUUGUGCCUCGUACUGUAAGCAGCAGCAAGGGUGGCUGUCCAACGCAAAACCUCUAAGGAUAACAGCCUACACAUUGCGAGCACGGAGCUUUAUAGACACUCUGAUCAUCAGCGAGGGAGACAUUAUCAUCGGCAACGGAGGCACGAUUAGGCGAUGGCCACCAUGUAAUUCAAAAAAGGUCUGUUAUGUGUGAAAUCUGUGCCAUACUCAGGAGUUAGAAUUGGAUAAACGUUAUUGGAAUAGCGGCUUCUUGCUGCAUCUCUCAACAUGAGCAGCCCUCAGCCUGCUCAGGAGGCUGGGGUGUCUGAUCUUGAGAUCAUAUCCCAGCAGGUGGAGGAGGAGAGCCAGUGCAUCGCUCCAGUCCAGCUUGUGAACUUCGCUUACACAGACCUGCCCCUCACGGGUCUCGACCUCUCCCUGGCCGGGUCCCAACUCCUGUCGAACCCGGAUGAGGAGGAUCAAAGAGAAAGGUAAGAUGAUGGGGUAAAAAAGAUGCCGGAUUCUCACAGCAGAAAUAUCCCUGCUACACUUCAAAUACUCUCCCAGUGACCAAUCUCAUCGCCAGACAUUUAAAUCUAAAAGCCUAAUUCCAUUUAAAAAAAGCAUGGAAAUGGAUACUCAUCAGAAGUACACUUGG